UACGAAGGGGGCUAGCGUUGCUCGGAAUCACUGGGCGUAAAGGGUGCGUAGGCGGGUUUUUAAGUCAGAGGUGAAAUCCUGGAGCUCAACUCCAGAACUGCCUUUGAUACUGGGAAUCUUGAGUAUGGAAGAGGUGAGUGGAACUGCGAGUGUAGAGGUGAAAUGCGUAGAUAUUCGCAAGAACACCAGUGGCGAAGGCGGCUCACUGGCCCGGUACUGACGCUGAGGCACGAAAGCGUGGGGAGCAAACAGG
rnacentral:rRNA from 1 species